GAUGAACGCUGGCGGCGUGCCUAAUACAUGCAAGUCGAGCGAACAGACGAGGAGCUUGCUCCUUUGACGUUAGCGGCGGACGGGUGAGUAACACGUGGGUACCUACCUAUAAGACUGGGAUAACUUCGGGAAACCGGAGCUAAUACCGGAUAAUAUUUCGAACCGCAUGGUUCGAUAGUGAAAGAUGGCUUUGCUAUCACUUAUAGAUGGACCUGCGCCGUAUUAGCUAGUUGGUAAGGUAACGGCUUACCAAGGCAACGAUACGUAGCCGACCUGAGAGGGUGAUCGGCCACACUGGAACUGAGACACGGUCCAGACUCCUACGGGAGGCAGCAGUAGGGAAUCUUCCGCAAUGGGCGAAAGCCUGACGGAGCAACGCCGCGUGAGUGAUGAAGGUCUUCGGAUCGUAAAACUCUGUUAUUAGGGAAGAACAAACGUGUAAGUAACUGUGCACGUCUUGACGGUACCUAAUCAGAAAGCCACGGCUAACUACGUG
rnacentral:rRNA from 1 species